UUUUUAUUUUCUAUGCAGUGCUACCGCUUCAAGUUCUUCAUAAGACCUCACACACCAUGACAGCAAGGAUUACGGAAGUCCUCAAAUAUUUCACGCUACAAGUUUUCAAACAACUAUGCUCCGAAAGGCUGCAUACAAUGCGGACAAAUCGCUCUUCUAACCUGCGUUUUCUUAAACAAGCUUUACUGCGGCAUUUCUGCCUUAAAUUAUACUUAUCAGGCAAGUCGAACCGCACGAUGUCCAAUAAAGCCUCAACACAGCCCUCA